GAGCCCUUGCUCAAAAUAGAGUCGCAACUGGAUUGGAUUAGUAAGCCCAUUAUGGUUUGAAAAUCCGAUAGACAAAAAUAAG
ncrna:unclassified sequences RT-18 RNA